CAGAGUUAUCUAACUCCCAAACCCAUGUGAACUUACCAUUUGUUGCCUCGGCAGAGCCUACCCGGUAACUGUUCGGAGAAGCUACCCUGUAACGGCCUACCCUGUAACGUCCUGCCGGUGGACUUUUAAACUCUUGUUAUUUUAUAGUAAUCUGAGCGUCUUAUUUUAAUAAGUCA
rnacentral:misc_RNA from 1 species